rnacentral:rRNA from 2 species
CCGCCCAGAGGUAAACGGGUGGAUCCGCAAAGUCGGUCCGCGGAAUUCAGCGCGGCGCGCGGUCCGGGGCUGCCGCUGUUCGGGAUCCUCUGGGAACCAGCAGCGGUGCCGAGCCGGACUCCGCCGCGUGCACUUUCCGCGGGCAGAGAGCCACAACCGGUUUGGUGGCGGUCACAAGCCCGGAGGGUUGUCGGUGGGGGCGCUCGCGUCCCUACCAGCCCUCCGCGGUGAGUCGCCGCCGGACCGAGGAACCGCCGCGCGCUUCGAGGCCACCCUCCCUUCCGGGUGAGUUCGACUGGGAGAGACUGGGCAACCGUGUCUCCCGACCGCUCACUCGCGACUGGCGCGGGGCUGGCCGGGCGAGCACUUGGGUUGGUGGCAAGUCUGUCGGCAUUCCACCCGACCCGUCUUGAAACACGGACCAAGGAGUCUAACAUGCGCGCGAGUCAUUGGGCGGUACGAAACCCAAAGGCGCAGUGAAAGCGAGGGCCUGUCAAAGGGCCCAGGUGGGAUCCAAUCGCUUCCUCGGCCCUUCG